CAGCCGCGCGGUAAUACAGAGGGUGCGAGCGUUAAUCGGAUUUACUGGGCGUAAAGCGUGCGUAGGCGGCUUCUUAAGUCGGAUGUGAAAUCCCUGAGCUUAACUUAGGAAUUGCAUUCGAUACUGGGAAGCUAGAGUAUGGGAGAGGAUGGUAGAAUUCCAGGUGUAGCGGUGAAAUGCGUAGAGAUCUGGAGGAAUACCGAUGGCGAAGGCAGCCAUCUGGCCUAAUACUGACGCUGAGGUACGAAAGCAUGGGGAGCAAACAGGAUUAGAUACCCGUGUAGUCCCUGUCUCUUAUACA
rnacentral:rRNA from 1 species